GACGUAGGGCGCGAGCGUUGUCCGGAUUUAUCGGGCGUAAAGAGCUCGUAGGCGGUUCGGUAAGUCGGGUGUGAAAUCUCUGGGCUCAACCCAGAGGGGCCACCCGAUACUGCUGUGACUAGAGUGCGGUAGGGGAGUGGGGAAUUCCUGGUGUAGCGGUGAAAUGCGCAGAUAUCAGGAGGAACACCCGUGGCGAAGGCGGCUCUCUGGGACGGUACUGACGCUGAGACGCGAAAGCGUGGGGAGCGAACAGG
rnacentral:rRNA from 1 species